rnacentral:rRNA from 1 species
UACGUAGGGACCAAGCGUUGUUCGGAUUUACUGGGCGUAAAGGGCGCGUAGGCGGCAACUCAAGUCAGCUGUGAAAUCUCCGGGCUUAACUCGGAACGGUCAGCUGAUACUGUCUUGCUAGAGUGCAGAAGGGGCAAUCGGAAUUCUUGGUGUAGCGGUGAAAUGCGUAGAUAUCAAGAGGAACACCUGAGGUGAAGACGGGUUGCUGGGCUGACACUGACGCUGACAGCGCGAAAGCUAGGGUAGCAAACGGG